rnacentral:rRNA from 1 species
AUUGAACGCUGGCGGCAUGCCUUACACAUGCAAGUCGAACGGCAGGGGGAGCAAUCCCCUGAGAGUGGCGAACGGGUGAGUAAAGCAUCGGAACGUGACCAGUUGUGGGGGAUAACUACUCGAAAGAGUGGCUAAUACCGCAUACGACCUGAGGGUGAAAGCGGGGGACCGAAAGGCCUCGCGCAGUUGGAGCGGCCGAUGUCAGAUUAGCUAGUUGGGGGGGUAAAGGCCCACCAAGGCGACGAUCUGUAGCUGGUCUGAGAGGACGACCAGCCACACUGGGACUGAGACACGGCCCAGACUCCUACGGGAGGCAGCAGUGGGGAAUUUUGGACAAUGGGCGCAAGCCUGAUCCAGCCAUGCCGCGUGCAGGAAGAAGGCCUUCGGGUUGUAAACUGCUUUUGUCAGGGAAGAAAUCCCUUGGGUUAAUACCUCGGGGGGAUGACGGUACCUGAAGAAUAAGCACCGGCUAACUACGUGCCAGCCGCCGCGGUAA